UUUGGAAGUUAANAGUGUAACAAGGUCUCCGUUGGUGAACCAGCGGAGGGAUCAUUACCGAGUUUACAACUCCCAAACCCCUGUGAACAUACCACUUGUUGCCUCGGCGGAUCAGCCCGCUCCCGGUAAAACGGGACGGCCCGCCAGAGGACCCCUAAACUCUGUUUCUAUAUGUAACUUCUGAGUAAACCCAUAAAUAAAUCAAAACUUUCAACAACGGAUCUCUUGGUUCUGGCAUCGAUGAAGAACGCAGCAAAAUGCGAUAAGUAAUGUGAAUUGCAGAAUUCAGUGAAUCAUCGAAUCUUUGAACGCACAUUGCGCCCGCCAGUAUUCUGGCGGGCAUGCCUGUUCGAGCGUCAUUUCAACCCUCAAGCACAGCUUGGUGUUGGGACUCGCGUUAAUUCGCGUUCCUCAAAUUGAUUGGCGGUCACGUCGAGCUUCCAUAGCGUAGUAGUAAAACCCUCGUUACUGGUAAUCGUCGCGGCCACGCCGUAAACCCCAACUUCGAAUGUGNCUCGAUCNGUGAUCAGUC
rnacentral:rRNA from 1 species